rnacentral:rRNA from 1 species
UACGAAGGGUGCAAGCGUUACUCGGAAUUACUGGGCGUAAAGCGUGCGUAGGUGGUUUUUUAAGUCCGUUGUGAAAGCCCUGGGCUCAACCUGGGAAUGGCAGUGGAUACUGGAAAGCUAGAGUGCGGUAGUGGGUAGUGGAAUUCCCGGUGUAGCAGUGAAAUGCGUAGAGAUCGGGAGGAACACCAGUGGCGAAGGCGGCUACCUGGACCAGCACUGACACUGAGGCACGAAAGCGUGGGGAGCAAACAGG